CCUAAAUUAUUUUAUAUUCUUAUUUAAAUGUAACAUAAUAAUACUACAUUUAUUUACUUUAGUCAUUAAAACGUCACAUAAUAUCAUAAAUAUGUAUAUUAUCACAAAAUGAUAAACGUACGCGCAUUCGUAAUUACAUGUGUGCACAUGUAAACAAAUAUCAAAAGAACCAUUCGAAUUGUGUCUAUAUGUCAAUUUGUCAACAUUCAAUAUAUGUAUGUAUGUAUGUAAAUAAAUAUGUGUACUCAUGCCUUCAUAUAAGAUCUUCGUUGCCACGGACAACGACGAAUGGCCGUAGCUUAUGAUUUUUUUGUGUUCAUGUCAAAGAGCUGUAAGGAAUGUGGAGCGUACGCAAACAAAGAGGCCCAGAUGUCCAACAUAAAAUGUCUUUAAAUUUUAUGCCUUGUUUCUUUAAAAGAUCAAUAGUAAUUAUUCUAAACAUGAUUUAAUAUGUUGGCAGAUAUUAAAAUGCAUUUAAUUAUAUAGAUAACCAAUUAAUACUUCAAUAUUUGUACAUACAUAUUAAGCGCAAAUAUUAUUACGGCGGGAUCACUUGAAGCGGCCCUGUAAAACUCGAUGUGUCGAAAAAUUGAUGGCCGCCUGCGCAAUGCCAAAGCGACGCAACAUUGUGUUGUCGGUAGAAAAUCGGCUUGUCGUAAAUAUGUAUGGAUAUGUAUGAGCAUGCAAACAUAUCGACAUAAAUUUUUGCCAGCCAAAGAAUUUUUGUUGAAAAAUAUUUAAAAUCGACUCAAGGGCUAUGUUGCCAUUUUUGUACCUAGGUUUUUGCGAUGUUGCAAAUUUUCCUUCUGGAUGGAACAUUAGAAAAAUCUUCAAUUUAUGAUUUUUGUCAUCGUCGCGAAAAGACGUUUGUGGACAUGCGUAUGCGCGGGGAGAUGUGUAUGGCGUUGCUUUUAUGAAUGAAGCAACUUUGCCAAGUGAAUGUGCGCUUGCGUUCAUGAAUGAAAAUGUUUUUGUUGUAUUUACUACAAUAUUUGGCUUCGUUGAUUGGCUGCCAUAUUGACUUGUGAUGCUGCUUAUGCGUUUGAGGCGCUCGUUGUUUUUUUUAGAACAAUGCUUUUGAUUUUUUGUGAUGGUUGGCAGAUUUACGUGCACGCAUAUGCAAAUGUAAGUUUGUGUAUUUGUUCAGUGACAUACAAACAUAUGUAUGUAUAUGCAUACAGAGAAAUGCGCGCACAUGUGACAUGACCUUCACUGAUAAGUGAUAAUGAUACUAUUCGAAUUUUUGAAGACAUAUCUACAUAUGUAUGUACACACGUAAAUGCUUAUGUAUAUAGAUAUACAUAUGCAUAUGCAAGUUUAAGUUACGAAAUAUGUAGUUCAUUUUAGUGUUAUACGAAAUGUAUUUAGUAAAUAUAAAAAUAUAAAACAUAUUUUUAUGAAAGUAUGUACAUACAUAUGUAUAUUAUUAUACAAUAUUACAUAAAUAUGUGGGUCCGUUUGAAUUUUUUUUUUACAAAUAUACCUCUGAAAUCGCAUAAUGUUUUCAAUUGUGGAUGCAUUCAUAAGUAUCCGCAAAACGAAUUCCAUGUCAGUUGUAUGUACAUAUGUAUAUAGUAAGCAUAUAAAUGCAUCAACAUAUAAACAAAGAGCCUAACAUGCGUCUAUAAUAGAAAUGUAAACCUCUGAGUAUAUUUUUCAAUUAAUACUCAGCUCUGUUACGAGGCACUGUUAAUAUUUCUCCUUCCGAGCCAGCCGUGGUGAAACUCGCUUAUAGGAUUUUGUUAGUUUUUACAAUUCACACGCUGGUCCGCAAUUGAACCUUCUCUAUAUUUUACAUUCUCUGACUCAGGGCUGUUAUUUGCGUAUUCUUGGCAACUGAGAUAAAUAGCUUAUCAUAAUAAAAAAUCUAGACUCAGUAGCAAAGGCUACUAUAAUGGCGAUUAUUCGCCAGUAGCUUUACACAAUUGAGGUGUUAAUUUAAUGUAUACCUUAGCCAUAAAAACGAGUGGCCGGGUCUGCUAGUGUUUAAUAUUUUGUCUGUGGUGGAUCUUUUGGCGGAAGUGCCCAUAUGUAAAAACUUAACAAACAAACUAUGCAUGGAUGACUCACUUUUGACACUCACCGUCAUCAUGGUUCGGUAUAUACAUAUAUUCAUCACUAGUAAUGACCUCACAGCAACAAUCUACUACACACAUAUACACAAAUUUAAGAUAAGGUUUCGAGAAAUUAACAUAUGUUAAUUGAAAGGAUGUAAGAAUCCACAGAAUCUCGUAUCUAUCAAUAAUACAUGCUAUGUCAUUUAUACUUUAUAAUAAGCGUGUAUCUAUGAAGUUAAAUAUGCAGAAAAGAAAGAAAGAAAAGAAAAAAAAUUGUAACAAUACAAAAUGCAAACAAUUCUACUAUGAUUUUCAUACAUAGUGGUUCUGUUAUAAGACUAAUAAAUAUAUAUAUCUUGAAGUAUAAAAUAAAUCUCAUUAAAUACAAUAAACCCACACAAAAAAAAAUAUAGAAUUUUUCAAGAAAUUCCUCUGUAUAUGAUACCAAUUUAUUCACAUACCUUCCUUCGUUCCUUUCUUUCUACCGAUUGUGCUAAAUUUUUCCCAAAAACUUUCUUCUUUUUCUGCAGCUUUGACAUUAUUACUCAUGUGUGGUGAUUUUGGACGACGUAAUGACAUAAUAAAAAUUGAAAUUUAAUUGAAGUUACCAAUAAGUUUCCAAACAAAUGUAUGUAAAACAAUUAGUGGUACUUUAAAA